GCGGGAAUAGCUCAGUUGGUAGAGCACGACCUUGCCAAGGUCGGGGUCGCGAGUUAUCGGCUCAAACAUGAAGAAAUGAAAUGACUGAGUCAGCCGAGAAGAAUUUCCCCGCUUAUUCGCA
rnacentral:tRNA from 1 species